UACAAACUCUUUAAGUCUCCACAAUUUUCAGUCACUGAGCCAAAAAGCUUCACUCCUUUCUGUUCUUUUGCUAAAAAUGGAACUGACCACGGGGAGGAUGAUUGGAUGUGCUAGAGAAAAUGGGGGACUUUACUUCCUUGAAGAUGGAUCAGAUAUGACAACACCAAUCAAAAACACAUGUUACGGGUCUGUCUCUAUUACUAGUAAUAAAGAGAUUAUGUUAUGGCACUUUAGACUAGGACAUCCUAGUUUUUAUUACAUGAAAUACUUAUUUCCAGAUUUGUUUAAGAAUAAAGAUUCAUCUUCUUUUCAAUGUGAAAUCUGCGAAUUGGCUAAACAUCAUCGGUCUACAUUUUCUAUACAUCCUUAUCAGCCCUCAAAACCGUUUUUUCUAUUACAUACUGAUGUUUGGGGUCCCUCUAGAAUUUCAACUUCAUCUGGAAAAAAAUGGUUUGUUACAUUCAUCGAUGAUCACACAAGAGUUUGUUGGGUGUAUUUGUUAAGAGAGAAAUCAGAGGUUGCAAGUGUGUUUCAAAAAUUCUACAGCAUGGUUUUGACACAAUUUCAAGAAAAAA